AAGUACGUCUCGAGAGGAAUCCGUGAGCGCAAACGGCGACCAAAUCCGAGUCCGGACGAGGGAGAACGGAGCAAAACGAGCGGCCUGCGCAAUACGCCCAGUACCCCGCGGUCACCACCCGCGGCCGCGGGGUGGGACCGCGGGUCAGCUGCCCCGACUCCAGCAGACACCCGCGGUCACCACCCGCGGCCGCGGGGCGGGACCGCGGGUCCCCUGACUCUCCCCCACGUUUGCCGGCCGCGGGCGCGGGCCAGGACCGCGGGAAAAGGGCGGAGCCUCCCCAAGUGGGCCCCAGUCGGGUUUUUCACCCCUUAAACCCCUUUCUCCCCCUUUUCCUCACACUAUUCAUCAUCCCCAACCUCAUACACACCCAUUAUUCAUCAUCCCCUACAUUCAAUACUCAUUUCCUACCUCCAUAUCCAAGCCCUAACCCCCAUUAAUACUCAUUCCUACCCAUUUGAAGAAGGCAUUGAAG
rnacentral:lncRNA from 1 species